GACGGAAGGUGCAAGCGUUGCUCGGAAUCACUGGGCGUAAAGGGUGCGUAGGCGGCCGUGCAAGUCUGGCGUGAAAGCCCCGGGCUCAGCCCGGGAAGUGCGCUCGAAACUGCGCGGCUCGAGUGCCGGAGGGGAGAGUGGAAUUCCAGGUGUAGCGGUGAAAUGCGUAGAUAUCUGGAGGAACACCGGUGGCGAAGGCGGCAUCCUGGACCAACACUGACACUGAGGAGCGAAAGCCAGGGGAGCAAACGGG
rnacentral:rRNA from 1 species